GGCAAAUUAAAGGUGCAUUCCAGAUCCCUCAAGCUAGUCUAAUUAAGCCAAUAAAUUCACUCUUCACUAUUAGAUAGCUAUAGAUCUAAAAAUAUGUAUAUGGUCCUACUGUUGUACUGCAAGUCUAAAUAGGUAUAUCCUAGCCAUAAUGUUUGUAAUAUAAAAGUUGGUAAAUCGAAAGGAUAGUGAGAUAUCAGUGAAGAGAGGAUA